UUGCUUCAGUAACACAUAUACUAAAAUUGGAAUGAUACAGAGAAGAUUAGCACAGCUACUUCACAAGGAUGAGGCACAAAUUCAUGAAGCAGUCCAUGUUCCA